rnacentral:rRNA from 1 species
CAGGGAAUAUUGCGCAAUGGGCGAAAGCCUGACGCAGCGACACCGCGUGAGGGACGAAGGCUUUCGAGUCGUAAACCUCUUUUCUCAGGGAAUAGAAAGGAAGGUACCUGAGGAAUAAGCAUUGGCUAACUACGUGCCAGCAGCCGCGGUAAUACGUAGGAUGCGAGCGUUGUCCGGAUUUACUGGGCGUAAAGGGUGAGUAGGCGGUUUUUCAAGUCCUGUGUGAAAUCUCUCGGCUCAACUGAGAGGGGUCAUAGGAAACUGUAAAACUAGAGUUCAGCAGAGGAAAGCGGAAUUUCCGGAGUAGCGGUGAAAUGCGUAGAUACCGGAAGGAACACCAGAGGCGAAAGCGGCUUUCUAGGCUGUAUCUGACGCUGAGGCACGAAAGCAUGGGGAGCGAACCGG